AACCCAGCGACCGAUAGACGUUAUUGAGAUUAUGCUGAGUUACCCCGCUUGAGUUAACGGUGUAACCGGUGAAGAGGUUAAAUAAUUCCUAUUAUUUAUAAACAUGAAAAUGAUCCUAGACGAGAAAGAAUGGCCCUCUUUGGCCAAGGCAUGUUUGAAACCAGCUGUUCAAAUGCCGACAGAUGAUGUGGUCAUGUUGAAUGGCAUAACAUUUGGAUUUUUGACACCUGUGAAGGAGUAGAAAAUCCAUACGUGUUUCAAGACAUGCCCAAAGUAGAAGAAACACAAGAUUUUUUUGAAGAAAAGCCUGUUAGCAUGGUGUAAAAAUUAUAUCUCCAUUGGACAUAUUUCCUGUUCUGUCAAAUUCAGUGGUUGGUGUGGUUCAUCACAGAGCCAAAGAGACAUGUUGAUUGGAUUAUCACUCUACCUGAUUAAAUACAAGUAGAUGGAUGUUUUCAUUUGCUUUAUUGAUUGCCAGAUGAAUGUAGAAUGAUUUACAAAUGUAUUUAAUCAUCAUAACAGUACAGUGCACUAUGUACUUAACUUUCUGUAUUAACUUGUUAGUGUGUUAACUGGAUUUUUAGAAAGUACAGUUGUGAUAGUCUGUCUGUAACAGCCACAUUUAUAUUUGGUUGCAAAAUGACAUUCUCUUUUAAUAUGAUCAUAUGUUGUAAAAUAUUUCAUGUCCUCUUUCCAUGAUUUGCUUUUUUCACCAUUAAUUCACUUAAUGACACUUAAGCAAUAAUAGUUCAGACAGAAAUAUUCAAUAUUUCAAGGAAAAUGGUCAAUAUGAUGAGAUGUUUUUAAAAUGCUCAUGCUCACUUUGUUUGAUUGUGAUUGUCUGACUUUUUAACCAUGUGAAUGCGUUAUUUGAAAAAAGGUGUAGCGUCAAUCAAAAAAUGUUGAGACUAAAUUUUUGCUCAGAUUUUGUAGCUAUCGUAUACUUGAAUUUACUUGUACCAUAUUUUAUUGGAUCACAUUUGUUGGUUAAAUGACCAUUUGUGUAAUACUGACAAGGGCGGUUCUUUAUUCUAUAUUUUUAUGUGAUAUUGUGACAAAGUGUACCUCCAUCCAGGUCAUGAUAGAAGUUUAAAUUUGGUCUCAUUUUGAUGCUAUUGCAAAGUACUACAUACCUGUACCCAUUUUCAUUGGGUCACAUUUCUUUCUUCUCUGUCUAUUUUGUGUCACACUGUGUCACACUGACAGGGCGGUCCUUUAUUCUAUAUUUUUAUGUGAAUGUGAUAUUGUGACAAAGUGUAACUUCCAUCUAGGUCAUGCUAAGACUUUAAAUUUGGUCUCAUUUUGAAGCUAUUAUAUAGGACUUCAUACCCGUACCCUCUUUUAUGGGGUCACAUUUCUUUAUUUUUUGUCUAUUUUGGGUUAUACUGACAGGGGCGGCCUUUUCUCUAUAUUUUUAUGUGAAUGUGAUAUUGUGACAGAGUGUUACUUCCAUCUAGGUCAAGCUAGGACUUUAAAUUUGGUCUCAUUUUGUAGAUAUUAUAUAUAACUACAUACCUGUACCCCCUUUCAUGGGGUCACAUUUCUUUAUUUUUCGUCUAUUUUGUGUCAUACUGACAGGGGCGGCCUUUUCUCUAUAUUUUUAUGUGAAUGUGAUAUUGUGACAAAGUGUAACUUCCAUCUAGGUCAUGCUAGGACUUUUAAUUUGGUCUCAUUUUGAAGCUAAUAUAUAGUUCUACAUACCUGUACCCCCUUUUAUGGGGUCACAUUUCUUUAUUAUUUGUCUAUUUUGGGUUAAUCUGACAGGGGCGGCCUUUUCUCUAUAUUUUCAUGGGAAUGUGAUAUUGUGACAGAGUGUUACUUCCAUCUAGGUCAAGCUAGGACUUUAAAUUUGGUCUCAUUUUGUAACUAUUAUAUAGGACUACAUACCUGUACCCCCUUUUAUGGGGUCACAUUUCUUUAUUUUUCGUCUAUUUUGUGUCAUACUGACAGGGGCGGCCUUUUCUCUAUAUUUUUAUGUGAAUGUGAUAUUGUGACAAAGUGUAACUUCCAUCUAGGUCAUGCUAGGACUUUUAAUUUGGUCUCAUUUUGAAGCUUAUAUAUAGUUCUAUAUACCUGUACCCCCUUUUAUGGGGUCACAUUUCUUUAUUAUUUGUCUAUAUUGGGUUAAUCUGACAGGGGCGGCCUUUUCUCUUUAUUUUCAUGGGAAUGUGAUAUUGUGACAAAGUGUAACUUCCAUCUAGGUCAAGCUAGGACUUUAAAUUUGGUCUCAUUUUGUAACUAUUAUAGAGUACUACAUACCUGUACCCCCUUUCAUGGGGUCACAUUUCUUUAUUUUUUGUCUAUUUUGGGUUAUUCUGACAGGGGCGGCCUUUUCUCUAUAUUUUCAUGGGAAUGUGAUAUUGUGACAAAGUGUUACUUCCAUCUAGGUCAAGCUAGGACUUUAAAUUUGGUCUCAUUUUGUAACUAUUAUAUAGGACUUCAUACCUGUACCCCCUUUCAUGGGGUCACAUUUCUUUAUUUUUUGUCUAUUUUGGGUUAAUCUGACAGGGGCGGCCUUUUCUCUUUAUUUUCAUGGGAAUGUGAUAUUGUGACAGAGUGUUACUUCCAUCUAGGUCAAGCUAGGACUUUAAAUUUGGUCUCAUUUUGUAGAUAUUAUAUAUAACUACAUACCUGUACCCCCUUUCAUGGGGUCACAUUUCUUUAUUUUUUGUCUAUUUUGGGUUAUUCUGACAGGGGCGGCCUUUUCUCUAUAUUUUCAUGGGAAUGUGAUAUUGUGACAAAGUGUUACUUCCAUCUAGGUCAAGCUAGGACUUUAAAUUUGGUCUCAUUUUGUAACUAUUAUAUAGGACUUCAUACCUGUACCCCCUUUCAUGGGGUCACAUUUCUUUAUUUUUUGUCUAUUUUGGGUUAAUCUGACAGGGGCGGCCUUUUCUCUAUAUUUUUAUGUGAAUGUGAUAUUGUGACAAAGUGUAACUUCCAUCUAGGUCAUGCUAGGACUUUUAAUUUGGUCUCAUUUUGUAGAUAUUAUUUAGUACUACAUAGCUGUACCCCUUUUCAUGGGGUCACAUUUCUUUAUUUUUUGUCUAUUUUGUGUCAUACUGACAGGGGCGGCCUUUUCUCUAUAUUUUUAUGUGAAUGUGAUAUUGUGACAAAGUGUAACUUCCAUCUAGGUCAUGCUAGGACUUUUAAUUUGGUCUCAUUUUGAAGCUAAUAUAUAGUUCUACAUACCUGUACCCCCUUUUAUGGGGUCACAUUUCUUUAUUAUUUGUCUAUAUUGGGUUAAUCUGACAGGGGCGGCCUUUUCUCUAUAUUUUCAUGUGAAUUUGAUAUUGUGACAAAGUGUAACUUCCAUCUAGGUCAUGCUAGGACUUUUAAUUUGGUCUCAUUUUGAACCUAAUAUAUAGUUCUACAUACCUGUACCCCCUUUUAUGGGGUCACAUUUCUUUAUUAUUUGUCUAUAUUGGGUUAUUCUGACAGGGGCGGCCUUUUCUCUAUAUUUUUAUGGGAAUGUGAUAUUGUGACAAAGUGUAACUUCCAUCUAGGUCAUGCUAGGACUUUAAAUUUGGUCUCAUUUUGUAACUAUUAUAGAGUACUACAUACCUGUACCCCCUUUCAUGGGGUCACAUUUCUUUAUUUUUUGUCUAUUUUGGGUUAUUCUGACAGGGGCGGCCUUUUCUCUAUAUUUUCAUGUGAAUGUGAUAUUGUGACAAAGUGUAACUUCCAUCUAGGUCAAGCUAGGACUUUAAAUUUGGUCUCAUUUUGUAACUAUUAUAGAGUACUACAUACCUGUACCCCCUUUCAUGGGGUCACAUUUCUUUAUUUUUUGUCUAUUUUGGGUUAUUCUGACAGGGGCGGCCUUUUCUCUAUAUUUUCAUGGGAAUGUGAUAUUGUGACAGAGUGUUACUUCCAUCUAGGUCAAGCUAGGACUUUAAAUUUGGUCUCAUUUUGUAACUAUUAUAUAGGACUACAUACCUGUACCCCCUUUUAUGGGGUCACAUUUCUUUAUUUUUUGUCUAUUUUGGGUUAUUCUGACAGGGGCGGCCUUUUCUCUAUAUUUUUAUGUGAAUGUGAUAUUGUGACAAAUGUUACUUCCAUCUAGGUCAAGCUAGGACUUUAAAUUUGGUCUCAUUUUGUAACUAUUAUAUAGGACUUCAUACCUGUACCCCCUUUCAUGGGGUCACAUUUCUUUAUUUUUUGUCUAUUUUGGGUUAUUCUGACAGGGGCGGCCUUUUCUCUAUAUUUUCAUGGGAAUGUGAUAUUGUGACAAAUGUUACUUCCAUCUAGGUCAAGCUAGGACUUUAAAUUUGGUCUCAUUUUGUAACUAUUAUAUAGUACUACAUACCUGUACCCCCUUUCAUGGGGUCACAUUUCUUUAUUUUUUGUCUAUUUUGGGUUAAUCUGACAGGGGCGGCCUUUUCUCUAUAUUUUUAUGUGAAUGUGAUAUUGUGACAAAGUGUAACUUCCAUCUAGGUCAUGCUAGGACUUUAAAUUUGGUCUCAUUUUGAAGCUAUUAUAUAGGACUUCAUACCUGUACCCCCUUUCAUGGGGUCACAUUUCUUUAUUUUUUGUCUAUUUUGGGUUAAUCUGACAGGGGCGGCCUUUUCUCUAUAUUUUCAUGGGAAUGUGAUAUUGUGACAGAGUGUUACUUCCAUCUAGGUCAAGCUAGGACUUUAAAUUUGGUCUCAUUUUGUAACUAUUAUAGAGUACUACAUACCUGUACCCCCUUUCAUGGGGUCACAUUUCUUUAUUUUUUGUCUAUUUUGGGUUAUUCUGACAGGGGCGGCCUUUUCUCUAUAUUUUCAUGGGAAUGUGAUAUUGUGACAAAGUGUUACUUCCAUCUAGGUCAAGCUAGGACUUUAAAUUUGGUCUCAUUUUGUAACUAUUAUAUAGUACUACAUACCUGUACCCCCUUUCAUGGGGUCACAUUUCUUUAUUUUUUGUCUAUUUUGGGUUAUUCUGACAGGGGCGGCCUUUUCUCUAUAUUUUCAUGGGAAUGUGAUAUUGUGACAAAGUGUAACUUCCAUCUAGGUCAUGCUAGGACUUUAAAUUUGGUCUCAUUUUGUAGAUAUUAUAUAUAACUACAUACCUGUACCCCCUUUCAUGGGGUCACAUUUCUUUAUUUUUCGUCUAUUUUGUGUCAUACUGACAGGGGCGGCCUUUUCUCUAUAUUUUUAUGUGAAUGUGAUAUUGUGACAAAGUGUAACUUCCAUCUAGGUCAUGCUAGGACUUUUAAUUUGGUCUCAUUUUGUAACUAUUAUUUAGUACUACAUAGCUGUACCCCUUUUCAUGGGGUCACAUUUCUUUAUUAUUUGUCUAUAUUGGGUUAUUCUGACAGGGGCGGCCUUUUCUCUAUAUUUUUAUGUGAAUGUGAUAUUGUGACAAAGUGUAACUUCCAUCUAGGUCAUGCUAGAACUUUAAAUUUGGUCUCAUUUUGUAACUAUUAUAGAGUACUACAUACCUGUACCCCCUUUCAUGGGGUCACAUUUCUUUAUUUUUUGUCUAUUUUGGGUUAAUCUGACAGGGGCGGCCUUUUCUCUUUAUUUUCAUGGGAAUGUGAUAUUGUGACAAAGUGUAACUUCCAUCUAGGUCAUGCUAGAACUUUAAAUUUGGUCUCAUUUUGUAACUAUUAUAUAGGACUUCAUACCUGUACCCCCUUUCAUGGGGUCACAUUUCUUUAUUUUUUGUCUAUUUUGGGUUAAUCUGACAGGGGCGGCCUUUUCUCUAUAUUUUCAUGGGAAUGUGAUAUUGUGACAGAGUGUUACUUCCAUCUAGGUCAAGCUAGGACUUUAAAUUUGGUCUCAUUUUGUAACUAUUAUAUAGGACUACAUACCUGUACCCCCUUUUAUGGGGUCACAUUUCUUUAUUUUUUGUCUAUUUUGGGUUAUUCUGACAGGGGCGGCCUUUUCUCUUUAUUUUCAUGGGAAUGUGAUAUUGUGACAGAGUGUUACUUCCAUCUAGGUCAAGCUAGGACUUUAAAUUUGGUCUCAUUUUGAAGCUAUUAUAUAGUACUACAUACCUGUACCCCCUUUCAUGGGGUCACAUUUCUUUAUUUUUUGUCUAUUUUGGGUCAUACUGACAGGAGCUGCCUGUAUACUAUAUUUUUAUGUGAAUGUGAUAUUGUGACAAAGUUUAACCUCCAUCUAGGUCAUGCUAGAACUUUAAAUUUGGUUUCAUUUUGAAGCUAUUGCAUAGUACUACAUACCUGUACCCCCUUUUAUGGGGUCACAUUUCUUUAUUUUUUGUCUAUUUUGGGUGAAACUGACGGGAGCGGCCUGUAUACUAUGUUUUUUUUUGUGAAUGUGAUAUUGUGACAAAGUGUAACCUCCAUCUAGGUCAUGCUAAAACUUUAAAUUUGGUCUCAUUUUGAAGCUAUUGCAUAGUCCUACAUACCUGUACCCCCUUUUAUGGGGUCACAUUUCUUUAUUUUUUGUCUAUUUUGUGUCAUACUGACGGGGGCGGCCUUUAUUCUAUAUUUUUAUGUGAAUGUGAUAUUGUGACAAAGUGUAACUUCCAUCUAGGUCAAACUAGAACUUUAAAUUUGGUCUUAUUUUGAAGCUAUUAUAUAGUACUACAUACCUGUACCCCCUUUUAUGGGGUCACAUUUCUUUAUUUUUUGUCUAUUUUGGGUUAUUGUGACAGGGGCGGCCUUUAUUCUAUAUUUUUAUGUGAAUGUGAUAUUGUGACAAAGUGUAACUUCCAUCUAGGUCAUACUAGAACUUUAAAUUUGGUCUCAUUUUGAAGCUAUUAUAUAGUACUACAUACCUGUACCCGCUUUCAUGGGGUCACAUUUCUUUAAUCUCUGUCUAUUUUGGGUCAUACUGACAAGGGCGGCCUUUUCUCUAUAUUUUUAUGUGAAUGUGACAUUUUGAAUAACUUAACUUUUUUCCAGGUGAUUGUACGACUUUAAAUUUUGCCUCAUUUGUAGCUAUUAUUUAGUACAUACUUAUGGGGUUAUAUUUCUUUAUUCUCUGUCUAUUUUGUUUCAUCCUACUUGUAGUGCAACUGUUGACCACAAGAAACUUUGUAUACAUACAUGAUUGUAACCUUUAACUUGUGUUUCAACUUUUGCGAAAGAUAUUGUCUGUAUGAUUGCUUUUACAUGAACCGCUUUAAUUAAAAUGUAAGAUCAUGUUUACGGUAGUAUGUGAUUGUGUUAAAAUGAGGAAUUGUUGAAUAAAUCUUACUGAAAUUUA